GAUCUCACACAGCACGUUCACGUGGCAAAGAAAUGGGUCCCCCUCCCCCACCCCUUCUCUCUCCUCUCGUUUUGUUCGGGAAAAUUGAAAUUUUUUGUAUAUUUUGAUACUAGAGCCACAAACAAUUUUGCUCCCAAAUUUUCCCCAAAACCCAUUUCUGCUCCACGCACCAGCAGGUCCAGCACCCACCGGCCACCGCCACCAACAACUGCCGAUCAUCCGAGACGCUUUCAACCGCCAUCGACCAUAAGUUUCAGCACCGUCUCAGCACCAUCCACCGCAAGUGUCAGCCGGUCCGAUGCCCAUUCCCGGCCACACCACUUACAACGGUCCACGCCACCAUAGCCGCCGUCCCUCCGUCGCAUGCCUCUCGCCGUAACAAGAAAUUGGUCAGAUGCAAGGAGAUGGGCGAAGGCCGAAGAAGUGAUGAAGUCCAUAAAAACUAUAAUUCCAGCUAUGGUAUGGAUUGGAAGUUUGGAACAAGAUGAAUCCUAAAAUAUAGAAGGGGCCUCAUUUAAAUCGAACUAUUGCUUGAGUUUUGUACUCCCAUGAGGAUUUUAAGAACUUGGAUUUUGUGGUCAGUUUGAUUGCAAUGCUACACUAAUUCAGAUUUAUUGGAAAUUUGCUUGUAAUUUGAUAUUUGCUUUUGUGUGCAUUAAGCAACCAAUUGGAAUUUAUGUCAAGCAGAGAUUUUUCUUAUUUC